ACUCCGAAAGUGGUUGUAAGAGAAAACGCGGGGUUCGUUCAACGCUACAGAUAAGAUAGCACGAUCAAAGUUCGAAACGGAAGUACUCGGGGUAUUCCUGCAGCGCAGGAGGCCGAAGUACGGCGUAAACAUGCGGAGACUUUUCAAAACAGUAAUUCUCAUUAUAAUUCGCGCAAGUCUUGACUUAUCAAACGGUUUCACGGUAGACCGCGCUUUGAGGAAAUACGCACAAGUCGAAACAGGUGGUUCGAUAUGAGUGCUCUCGAGGACGCUCUCUGAACGAACGUGGAGCUUAUUCGAAAUAGGGGAUGAACUAAUUGGAACCGUCAAAGUGAGGGGCUUCGUAUUGUACAGAGGGUGAAUCAGUGCGUGAACUUCGGUGUACGUAGUUUUGUUUUGAAUCCGGUCACUUUUUUCGAAGCUUUUUAUCGGCCUUAAAAUAUACUUAAAUUUAAUGAUAUAUGCUUUACGUUAAAGGAUAAGCAAAACGAUGCAGCGGUAGAUUAAUGGUAGCAUUUCCUUAUAACGUAUCUUCAAUGCCAUUACGUACCGUAUGCAAAUGUGCUCGGCCCUAUUAUUUGUAUUUACAUACAGGUGAUUUUUUAUUGUACUUAAAUUUAGUUUCAAGUGGAGGUCACGAUCGAUCCAGCACUAUUCCUUUUGUGAUCUAAGUAUAAUUUCAGCAGUCGGAAUAACUGACCUUGCCCUAUAGAGAUGCCGAGGAUACUAGAGGGAUGGACGCACGAUGUCGACCUCAAAUUCCGCUGUUCUUGAUAACGGCGAUAACGGCGAUAAUGGCAGUUCCCGAGAUCAGCAACCGUAGAUUAUGGCCCGAUUCAAUAAGGGAAAGAACAACUCGUUGACUUGGGAUCUUUCAAGGGAUUUCAGAUUGAGUCGCUGCGGACAAAUCUGUCGACGAUCUCGACUAACAAGGAGUUACUAACAAACAAUGUGAAACGAAUAUAAAAAUCCUGUUCCUUACAAUCUGUGCGGUUACACAAUUGACAAAGGAACAUGUAUUUCGAUAUUGUGACAGAAGCGACCAAGUUCUAUGUACUUGAAUCGGAGGAAUAAAGCCGUACAAGAGAUAUUGGAAAUUCCGUCAGAUCUUCCAAUUGGUCGAAACCAAGGACGGUCACUGGAGCGAUGACUAAAUAAAAGGCAAUCGAUGGAAAUGUUUUGUGUACCAACGUAAGCACGAUUAAGAAACGCACCGAGAAAGUACAGUCGAUUCAGCCAAUGAACAAGACAACCAACCGUGAUGUAAAAGAGAAUAAUAAACUUUCAACUUUCAUCCAGCGUUGCCGUUUUCACAGCUUACGUUGACGAGAUCCAAAGAUUCAGUAAACAAUUAUUGAAUAGAACAAGGUCAGUUAUACUGUACGUAUUAACAUAUGUUUAUGACUUAUAAUUUUAGUAUAUAACGUACUUAUUAUUAUUUAUUUAUAAGUUUUUUUAACCUUCUUCUUCGAUUGUAUGUAAUAUUUUAUUCAAUAAAUUACGAAGAAAUGAACAAA